GGGGAUAUAGCUCAGCAGUAGAGUCCCUACCUAGUAUGCACAAGGCCCUAGGUUCAAUCCCCAGUGUCCCCC
rnacentral:tRNA from 1 species